rnacentral:rRNA from 1 species
AUUAGGGUUCGAUUCCGGAGAGGGAGCCUGAGAAACGGCUACCACAUCUAAGGAAGGCAGCAGGCGCGCAAAUUACCCAAUCCUAAUACAGGGAGGUAGUGACAAGAAAUAACAAUACAGGACUUUUUGGUUUUGUAAUUGGAAUGAGUUAAGUAUAAACCCCUUUACAAGUAUCAAUUGGAGGGCAAGUCUGGUGCCAGCAGCCGCGGUAAUUCCAGCUCCAAUAGCGUAUAUUAAAGUUGUUGCAGUUAAAAAGCUCGUAGUUGGAUUUCUGUUAAUAAUUUAUAUAUAAUAUUUGAUUAAUAUUUAUAUAAUAUUAACAUAAUUCAUAUUACUAAAUUUAUUAGUAUAUGAAAUUUUACUUUGAGAAAAUUAGAGUGCUUAAAGCAGGCAUAUGCCUUGAAUACUCCAGCAUGGAAUAAUAUUAAAGAUUUUUAUCUUUCUUAUUGGUUCUAAGAUAAAAAUAAUGAUUAAU